rnacentral:rRNA from 1 species
GCAGUCGAGCGAGAAGCUACCUUCGGGUAGUGGACAGCGGCGCACGGGUGAGUAACGCGUACACAAUCUACCUUAUAGAGGAGAAUAGCCCUGGGAAACUGGGAUUAAUGCUCCAUAGUAUUACACUUUGGCAUCAAGGUGUAAUUAAAGCUCCGGCGCUAUAAGAUGAGUGUGCGUACUAUUAGCUAGUUGGUAAGGUAACGGCUUACCAAGGCUACGAUAGUUAGGGGGCGUGAGAGCGUGACCCCCCACACGGGUACUGAGACACGGACCCGACUCCUACGGGAGGCAGCAGUAAGGAAUAUUGGACAAUGGGCGCAAGCCUGAUCCAGCCAUCCCGCGUGGAGGAUGACUGCCCUAUGGGUUGUAAACUCCUUUUAUUUGAGAAGAAACGCCUGGAUUUAUCCGGGCCUGACGGUAUCUUAUGAAUAAGCACCGGCUAACUCCGUGCCAGCAGCCGCGGUAAUACGGAGGGUGCAAGCGUUAUCCGGAAUCACUGGGUUUAAAGGGUGCGUAGGUGGUUUAGUAAGUCAGAUGUGAAAGCCCGGCGCUCAACGUCGGAAUUGCAUUUGAUACUGCUGAGCUUGAAUCAGGUUGAGGUGGGCGGAAUGUGGCAUGUAGCGGUG